GUGCUGCAUGAUUUUGACGUGGUUUAAUCAAUGCCGUGCGCGUGAACUUUCGAGUAUUUCAAACACUGGAGCGGCCGGCGCGCAGAGUUGCCAUGGAAACGGCGCGGGACCACUGCUACUGGUAAGCAACAAAACUCCCUCUCUCGAUGUUGUUUAAACUUUUCACGGCUUUUUCCAGUAGUAACAAAAUAACCCAUAACAGAGAGAAAGCUCCACGACUUCAACAUUUCUGGAGAAAGCUGCUGCCGGAGAAGUAACGUUAGGACACAGAACAAGUCUGUGACUGACUUAAUGAACCCAGUUGCUUUGGAUCAUGCUCAAAGAUGUAAGGG